UCCUUCAUCACCCAAGGUAAACCUGUGCUUGACUUCCUUUCUUAUGCUCCUCAUGUUUUGUUGGUUGUUACCUACCAUUAGAUUGGAUGUUUGUUCUCUGGCUGUACAUAGUCAAUUCUGGUGAGCUAUUUUGGACUAAUGAGGUUUGUGGGGUCAAUAAGUAUGGCACAAACUGUGUUGAUCUUCAACGCACGUAUGCUUUCCUAAAUUGGAUUGAUUUGCCGACGUCGAGUUAGUGUGCACCAGCGGGCGUAGCUUCGCCUAUGUCAACUUUCACUGUUCCUCCCCUAAGGUCGUGACCAAGUUAUUCUCCACCGUAAGCAUCCACCACCCCAUCAGCAAUCUCAUUGUAACUAUUUUUCUACACUUCGACAACAAUUAAUAGUAGCGGAUUGGGAUUUUGUUGAUUAUCCGCAUUAGCCGUGUGUGUUCUCUGGUUUGAAUGGAGAAUUUUGUGUUAGGCGAGUAGAGCUUUACCAACUUAAUAACAGAGGAUGGUGCUUGCACUUGUUGUGGGUGUUGAUGGUUCCCAUGUCUUGGUUCCUUGGAAUGGCGAUUCAAGAAACAUCAUCGUGUUGAUUGACCAUAGGGUGAUUGACCAAGCCAAGUGAAUUAAUUCUCACAGUUCAUCAGUAUUGCAAUUUUAUGGUGGGAGCGUCUCCCCAGAAAUCUCUACUCCUAAGGUAACCAGUUUUUUCUCCAUGAAUAUGAUUCUCCAACUUCCUGAUUCAUUAUUUGUAAAAAACACUAAUGAUAUUGUUGGGCCUCUGAACCAUUGUGUUGAUUGCCAUGUUUUGCUUGAAUAUCUCAGAAUGUCCGAAUUCUAGCAUUUGAAAAGUUGAACAACACAAUGUUACUGAAAAUAUGUUGGAUUGCGUGAAGAAUACGGAUAAAUAGUUUUGAAUUAUUUUGUAGCGAGACACAUGCACCUGGUGUUGUCUACCUUAUCCAACACCUAUCGAUAAUGUCAAUAAGAUACAAUAUUGUUAUGGAAAGUCCAUAACAAACUAAUUCCAACAUUAUGUGAUUUGCUGACACAUCUCAUGGUAUCGAUAUUAAUAAAGGUUUUCUGUUAUAAGUUUUACUGUGAGACUAGGCAUCUUUUGUUUUCAAAACAAUAGACUCAUGCAUAGUUAAUUUGACUUGAAUGAAGCAGGUAUUCUCAUUCCAUAUUUUUAUUUGCUUUCAUGCACAAAGGCUACUUGAUCUUGGUAAGCUUCAGGAGAUUGCUGUAAAAUCUGUACGAGUAUGUGAACGUGAGAAAUCAAGCUCUCCCAUAUGAACAUUCCUUGUACCGUUGGAUAUGACCCAGCAAGCAAUAUGAUUACCAUGCGAAUGAAGCGAAAGACAACAUUCCUGACGUUUGUGUUCAUCAAUAUCUCAAACGCAUAAGUAUGUCUUAGUUUGUAACUGAUAAUUAUCAUCGAUCUCUUUAUAUACAUUGUUGAUUACAUUGUAAAUGGACUGAAGUUCAAUUUUUAUAUACAUGUCAAAUUCUGGCAUUGAUCUCUUUAUAUACAUUAUUUAUUAUUUUGACGGGUACUACGGCGAGCUUCCACCUGCUUGAGCUAUAUGCAUUAUCUUUAUAUAUGUAAAAUCAGGAAAGGAAGAAGCCCGUGGCAACGCACGGACGUUCUACUAGUAUAAAAUUAAAGAGGAGUGUUGGG
rnacentral:lncRNA from 1 species